GUGGGGAGGAGAAAGCUGACUCCCCUCCCCCGGUGUCCACGGGCAGUGCCACGUACUCUGGAUGGAGCAGCCUGGCGGCGCCGCUAGGUAUGUGAGCUUCAAAGUCAGAAAAAAAUUAAGCAACAAUCUGGACUCUACAGUGAUCCAUAGAAAGGCAAGGAGUCUCUGCACUCACCUAGACUGAUGGACAGAUUGCCUGCCAGGACAUUAUUACCCUGUUAUAUCCAAUCUUAAGUAUUGUCCUGAAGAGCAGCAAGGACUAAAAGAUCCAUAAAAGUGUAAAUUAAGGCAUUAAUCAUGGUGUCAUCUUUGACAGACAGUGCAAGCAAGCCACAUUUUCCUACUAGGAAAAUGCUAAUGACACAAAGUGCCUUUCAGGAGCUAACCCUGAAUACUAAAUACUUUGUUUUGUUCUCUGUUCCUUAAUAGGAUUUUGUAUCUGAUAGUCUCCAUAUUUUAAUGACAACGUAUAGAUAGCUUGGUGUUAAGAUCCAAAGGGAUAUACACCAAGUUGUUUGUAGUGGUUAUGUCUGGAGAAUAGAAUUAUGGACAUUUUUUUUUCCUCAUUUGUUUUCUGUAAUUUUCCACAGUAUGUAUUGCUUUUGUGGUAAGAAAAAAAUAUUUGUUACUAAUAAAAAGGUAGUUAAACACA